CAACUUUCAGCAACGGAUCUCUUGGCUCUCGCAUCGAUGAGAACGCAGCGAAAUGCGAUAAGUAAUGUGAAUUGCAGAAUUCAGUGAAUCAUCGAAUCUUUGAACGCACCUUGCGCUCCUUGGUAUUCCGAGGAGCAUGCCUGUUUGAGUGUCAUUA
rnacentral:rRNA from 1 species